GAUGAACGCUGGCGGCGUGCCUAAUACAUGCAAGUCGAACGAAACUUCUUUAUCACCGAGUGCUUGCACUCACCGAUACAGAGUUGAGUGGCGAACGGGUGAGUAACACGUGGGCAACCUGCCCAAAAGAGGGGGAUAACACUUGGAAACAGGUGCUAAUACCGCAUAACCAUAGUUACCGCAUGGUAACUAUGUAAAAGGUGGCUAUACUACCGCUUUUGGAUGGGCGCGCGGCGCAUUAGCUAGUUGGUAGGGUAAAGGCUUACCAAGGCAGUGAUGCGUAGCCGAAGUGAGAGGUUGAUAGGCCACAUUGGGACUGAGACACGGCCCAAGCUCCUGCGAGAGGCAGCAGUAGGGAAUCUUCCACAAUGGGCGAAAGCCUGAUGGAGCAACGCCGCGUGGGUGAAGAAGGUCUUCGGAUCGUAAAACCCUGUUGUUAGAGAAGAAAGUGCGUGAGAGUAACUGUUCACGUUUCGACGGUAACUAACCAGAAAGCCACUGCUAACUACGUG
rnacentral:rRNA from 1 species